GGAGGGUGCAAGCGUUACUCGGAAUCACUGGGCGUAAAGGACGCGUAGGCGGAUUAUCAAGUCUCUUGUGAAAUCUAACGGCUUAACCGUUAAACUGCUUGGGAAACUGAUAAUCUAGAGUAAGGGAGAGGCAGAUGGAAUUCUUGGUGUAGGGGUAAAAUCCGUAGAUAUCAAGAAGAAUACCUAUUGCGAAGGCGAUCUGCUGGAACUUAACUGACGCUAAUGCGUGAAAGCGUGGGGAGCAAACAGGAUUAGAUACCCUGGUAGUCCACGCCCUAAACGAUGUAUACCGGUUGUUGCUGUGCUAGUCACGGCAGUAAUCCACCUAACGGAUUAAGUAUACCGCCUGGGGAGUACGGUCGCAAGAUUA
rnacentral:rRNA from 1 species